AAAUAUCCCCGGACAAGGACAUGCUUUUACCAUCAAAGUUGGUUUGUCAUAGAGAUCGACUAUCACAGCCAGCUUUGAUGAGCAAAAUUGUGUCCGUCUA